CCUACGGGGGGCAGCAGUGGGGAAUAUUGGACAAUGGGGGCAACCCUGAUCCAGCCAUGCCGCGUGUGUGAAGAAGGCCCUCGGGUUGUAAAGCACUUUCAGUGAGGAAGAACGCCUGGUGGUUAAUACCCAUCAGGAAAGACAUCACUCACAGAAGAAGCACCGGCUAACUCCGUGCCAGCAGCCGCGGUAAUACGGAGGGUGCGAGCGUUAAUCGGAAUUACUGGGCGUAAAGCGCGCGUAGGUGGCUUGAUAAGCCGGUUGUGAAAGCCCCAGGCUCAACCUGGGAACGGCAUCCGGAACUGUCAAGCUAGAGUGCAGGAGAGGAAGGUAGAAUUCCCGGUGUAGCGGUGAAAUGCGUAGAGAUCGGGAGGAAUACCAGUGGCGAAGGCGGCCUUCUGGACUGACACUGACACUGAGGUGCGAAAGCGUGGGUAGCAAACAGGAUUAGAUACCCCGGUAGUC
rnacentral:rRNA from 1 species